rnacentral:rRNA from 1 species
GACGAACGCUGGCGGCGCGCCUAACACAUGCCAGUCGAACGGAGUCAGGAGGAGCUUGCUUUUCUUGACUUAGUGGCGAACGGGUGAGUAACGCGUGAGUAACCUGCCCUGGAGUGGGGGACAACAGUUGGAAACGACUGCUAAUACCGCAUAAGCCCACGGAUCCGCAUGGAUCUGCGGGAAAAGGAUUUCUUCGGUUCAGGAUGGAGGCGCGUCCGAUUAGCUAGUUGGUGAGGUAACGGCCCACCAAGGCGACGAUUGGUAGCCGGACUGAGAGGUCAAACGGCCACAUUGGGACUGAGACACGGCUCAGGCUCCUACGGGAGGCAGCAGUGGGGGAUAUUGCACAAGGGGGGGAAACCCUGAUGCAGCGACGCCGCGUGGAGGAAGAAGGUUUUCGGAUUGUAAACUCCUGUCGUUAGGGACGAUAAUGACGGUACCUAACAAGAAAGCACCGGCUAACUACGUG